rnacentral:rRNA from 1 species
GACGAACGCUGGCGGCGUGCUUAACACAUGCAAGUCGAACGGAAACGCCCUGCCUUUGUGGGGUGCUCGAGUGGCGAACGGGUGAGUAACACGUGAGUUACCUGCCCUUGCCCUUGGGAUAACUUCAGGACACUGAGGCUAAUAUCGGAUAGGAGCUCCUGCUGCAUGGUGGGGGUUGGUAAGUUUCGGCGGUUGGGGAUGGACUAGCGGCUCAUCAGCUUGUUGGUGGGGUAGUGGCUUACGAAGGCUUUGACGGGGAGCCGGCGUUAGAGUGAGAGCGGCCACAGUGGGACUGGGAUGCGACCCAGACUCCAACGGGAGGGAACAGUGGGGAGUAGUGCACAGUAGGCGGGGGCCUGGUGCGGCAAAGCCGCGUGCGGGAUGACAGGCUUGGGUUAGUGAAGCACUGCUGCCUGUGACGAGGCGAGAGUGACGGUAAUGGGUGAAGAAGCACCGGCUAACUACGUG